rnacentral:rRNA from 1 species
UGGGGAAUAUUGCACAAUGGGCGCAAGCCUGAUGCAGCCAUGCCGCGUGUGUGAAGAAGGCCUUCGGGUUGUAAAGCACUUUCAGCGGGGAGGAAGGCGUUAAGGUUAAUAACCUUGGCGAUUGACGUUAUCCGCAGAAGAAGCACCGGCUAACUCCGUGCCAGCAGCCGCGGUAAUACGGAGGGUGCAAGCGUUAAUCGGAAUUACUGGGCGUAAAGCGCACGCAGGCGGUCUGUCAAGUCGGAUGUGAAAUCCCCGGGCUCAACCUGGGAGCUGCAUUCUAAACUAGCAGGCUAGAGUCUUGUAGAGGGUGGUAGAAUUCCAGGUGUAGCGGUGAAAUGCGUAGAGAUCGGGAGGAAUACCGGUGGCGAAGGCGGCCCCCUGGACAAAGACUGACGCUCAGGUGCGAAAGCGUGGGGAGCAAACAGG